rnacentral:rRNA from 1 species
UGAACGCUAGCUACAGGCUUAACACAUGCAAGUCGAGGGGAAACGAUAUUGGAAGCUUGCUUCUGAUAGGCGUCGACCGGCGCACGGGUGAGUAACACGUAUCCAACCUGCCGUCUACUCUUGGACAGCCUUCUGAAAGGAAGAUUAAUACAAGAUGGCAUCAUGAGUUCACAUGUUCACAUGAUUAAAGGUAUUCCGGUAGACGAUGGGGAUGCGUUCCAUUAGAUAGUAGGCGGGGUAACGGCCCACCUAGCCUGCGAUGGAUAGGGGUUCUGAGAGGAAGGUCCCCCACAUUGGAACUGAGACACGGUCCAAACUCCUACGGGAGGCAGCAGUGAGGAAUAUUGGUCAAUGGGCGAGAGCCUGAACCAGCCAAGUAGCGUGAAGGAUGAAGGCCCUACGGAUUGUAAACUUCUUUUAUACGGGAAUAAAGUUUCCUACGUGUAGGAUUUUGUAUGUACCGUAUGAAUAAGCAUCGGCUAACUCCGUG